UACGUAGGGGGCUAGCGUUGUUCGGAAUUACUGGGCGUAAAGCGCACGUAGGCGGAUAUUUAAGUCCGGGGUGAAAUCCCAGAGCUCAACUCUGGAACUGCCUUUGAUACUGGGUAUCUCGAGUAUGGAAGAGGUGAGUGGAAUUCCGAGUGUAGAGGUGAAAUUCGUAGAUAUUCGGAGGAACACCAGUGGCGAAGGCGGCUCACUGGUCCAUUACUGACGCUGAGGUGCGAAAGCGUGGGGAGCAAACAGG
rnacentral:rRNA from 1 species